rnacentral:rRNA from 1 species
GACGAACGCUGGCGGCGUGCUUAACACAUGCAAGUCGAACGAAGUGGCGAACGGGUGAGUAACGCGUAAUCAACCUGCCCUUCAGAGGGGGACAAAAGUUGGAAACGACUGCUAAUACCGCAUACUGAUGGAGGGGGUUGCGUCUGGUUAGCUAGUUGGAGGGGUAACGGCCCACUAAGGCGAGGAUCUGGAGCCGGUGGGGGAGGAUGAACGGCCACAUUGGGAGUGAGACAGGGCCCAGACGGCUACGGGAGGCAGCCGUGGGGAAUCUUCCGGCAUGGGCGAAAGUCUGACGGCGAAAGGCCGCGUGAGUGAUGAGGGCCUUCGGGUGGGAAAGGUCUGUUUAUCGGGACGCGGUACUGGAAUAGAAAGCAACGGCUAACUACGUGCCAGCAGCCGCGGUAAUAC